UUGUUGACUCCUAUUUUGGAGUGUUAAUUGUUGGUUAUAGCUAUUUGUUUCCAUUGAAAUAAAACCAAACAAACUUGAGUCCAAUAUUAGAUUCUUGCCAGAUGUCUUAAACAAAAUUAAGCGAAAUGAUUCAAAAGUUUAUAUGAAAAUAUUAACGAUGCCUCAAUUAUUUUAGACCGUCGUAUAUAUAUAUCUUAAACCCUUUGUAAUAUCACAUUAUUUUUUCGAUAUGAUGUAUCGGAUGUCCCCUUUGUCUAGGACUAAGAUGUAAUUAAUAUUGUCUGGUUUAAUUUUAGUAUAUGUCCGGUUCGAUUAAUUUGAAUACUUUAUUUUCAAAAAUACAUAACAAUAAUGUCAGAAUAACAGGAUUUUAAUUUUCCAUUUAUAGUCUUUGCAAAAAGGAAAAAGUUUCGGAGUAAUUUUUUUUUCAAACUUUGAUAUUUUUUCAAGUUUUCCAAAAAUGAAAAGACAGUAAAAAAAUAUUUCUUGAACUGUAUUCUAAAUAAAGCAAGCAUACGUCAAAGUUGGUGGCUUUUAAUUUCAAAUAAUAGCAAAGUUUGCUUCUUGAUUACAAAAUCAUCCUUUUAUCUUGAUCCUGAUAAUCAAAUUAAUGGGGUUGUUUAUUCUUCAACUAAAGUCGGGAUUAUGAAGGAGAGCAUUGACGUAACUGAUAAAGUUGUUGUUAUGUGAUCAGGAGUUCACGGGAUCGAGCCGUAAAAACAGACUCUUGCAGGAAUGCAGGGUAAGGCUGUAUAUUCUAGUCCCAAAGCUAGGAACGCGCGUCAAACCUUUCGGCCCCGUGUUAACCACAUAAAAGAGACGAUUCAUUCUAUUCCCUCGGUUAUAUUUGACUAAGACCCAGAGGAUAUCCCAAAGUGGGCAUUCGGGCUCAUCCCUCCCUUCACGGUCGCAGUCCUCUUAGCCAUAGGGUUUUCUUGCUCGCCCGUAACUCCUCUGUUGGCAUUGGUUCAUUUUCGGUAUGGCUACUGAGGAUUUGAUUCAAUACAGCGGAUGAGGAAAAUCCAGCAAGCUUAGACAAGAUAGAAAGUAAGGAAGACAGAAGGUGGGUAGCGAGGAAGAAAUCCAAUAGCCUGCUCAGCCUUAUACAGACCCUGCGCAUAGUGGAUGCUUAAUGCACGGGCUGCCUUUUUUAAAGUCAGGAUUAUGAAAAAUUAAAAAGUAAUUUGCUAAAUGCGAUACAAUAAUCAAACCAAAUACUGGUUAAAUUUUAUCGAUUUCGGUUCAAAAUGGUUCUUUUUUCUUUAAAUUUGUUAACAUCGAAGGAAUAUUUUAAUGAAAUGUUUUUUUAUAGGGACCAAUUAAAUUAAGAGUUAGGUACUUAGACUUGAUCUAUGGCAUAGUUUCUUCAUUAUAAUGUUUAACAAACUUUU
rnacentral:lncRNA from 1 species